UCCAGACCAGGGGAAACGGACCAGCAAAGCAGUCAGAGGCCAUAAAGUUCAGCUCCUCAGCAGCUGCAGUUGCUUAGCGGGCAACGAGUUGGUGAGCGGACAGCAGGACAGCUAGCAUGGAGAGCAGCGGGAGUGGUUGGCAGAGAGGAGCGGACAGCAGGGCAUCUGAUGGAGGGGCGUGGCUGGUGGUGAAGACUUCAGCAGAACCCUAUGGAGAGGCGUAGCACUUGGCCGUCGACCUGAGAGCAUGUAAGAUGCCCCCCAUACCUCCCUCCACUUCCACUCAGGCUGGUGAAACUGCGUGCUGUUGUGAGAUGCUCACUGAUGUCCAGAGCAGGCUAUGGCCUUAUGGAUGGAUGUUUAUCAGGGCUGCCGCAAGAGUCCUAGGUUCUGGGAUUUUCUCUGUAUUUGCUGACUUUGUUUGCAGGACACACCAACUCAAAACAGCAGCAGAUCCUGCCGGAACAACAGAUGCAAACCCCAGAGACCGAUCUCCGCUGCUACAAUGAUCAAUAUCACCACCACAUGCCUUUCAAGGUCCAGGGGUCCCACAUGUGCCUGUCACAAUAUGUGGUGCACCUCAUUCUGGGCACUAAAUGUGGGUGAAACCAGACAAUCGCUAAGCUCUCAAACGAACUCACCCAGUAAAAUGAUCAAGAACAACCACACAUCAUCCACGUGCGAACACUUUUCACAAAGCGAUCACUCCAUAGCUGACCUCUCAGUCCUCAUCCUCAAAAGAAACCUGCACAACGCCUUCAAAAGAUGAGCCCAGGAAUUUCAAUUCAUAACUCUGCUGGACACUAAAAGCCAUGGACUCAACAGGGACACUGGUUUUACAGCUCAUUACAGCAAUUUGAAACUCACCCCACUGCCUGCUAAUCCUCAGUUGGCCGCUUUAUUUUAAAUGGUCUCCUGCAGAGUGUGUGAAUCCCUGAUACUUAAUUGUCUGCCUCCCUUGUAUUUAGCUCAGACAUUCUGCUUUCCUUCCCCAACCUGCAGAAAAUGGACAAAUUGGAGAGAGUCCAGCGGAGGGCAAUGAAAAUGAUUAGGAGUCUGGGGCACAUGACUUAUGAGGGAGGUUGGGGGAACUGGGGUUAUUUAGUCUGCAGAAGAGAAGAGUGAGAGGGGAUUUGAUAGCAGCCUUCAACUAACUGAAGGGGGGCUCCAAAGAGGAUGGCGCUCGGCUGUUCUCAGUGGUGGCAGAUGACAGAACAAGGAGCGAUGGUCUCAGGUUGCAGUGGGGGAGGUCUAGGUUGGAUAUUAGGAAAAAAGAUUUCACUAGGAGAGUGGUGAAGCACUGAAAUGGGUUUCCUAGGGAGGUGGUGGAAUCUCCAUCCUUAGAGGUUUUUAAGGCCCAGUUUGACAAAGCCCUGGCUGGGAUGAUUUAGUUGGGGUUGGUCCUGGUUUGAGCAGGGGAUUGGACUAGAUGACCUCCUGAGGUCUCUUCCAACCCUGAUCAUAGAAUAUCAGGGUUGGAAGAGACCUCAGGAGAUCAUCUUGUCCAACCCCCUGCUCAACGCAGGAGCGAACCCCAAUUUUUGCCCCAGAUCCCAAAUGGCCCCCUCAAGGAUUGAACUCACAACCCUGGGUUUAGCAGGCCAAUGCUCAAACCACUGAGCUAUCCCUCCCGCCCGGGUCUUCUAUGAUUCUAUGAAAAGCUCUGUGAAGCUCCAAAGCUUGUAACUCCCAUCAACAGAAUUUGGUUCAAUAAAAGAUAUUACCUCUC